rnacentral:snoRNA from 1 species
GUAUGGAUCAGUGUCCCCUGCCACAGCAAAUUCUAGCCCACAUCACCGGCUGACCUCUAUGUCUGUAAGCUGCUGGCAGUGAAGUGGUUUGUGCAUCU